rnacentral:rRNA from 1 species
GUCAAGUGAAUAAGAGCAUGUGGUGGAUGCCUUGGCAAUGAUAGGCGACGAAAGACGUGAAAGCCUGCGAUAAGCUUCGGGGAGCUGGCAAAUAAGCUUUGAUCCGGAGAUUUCUGAAUGGGGAAACCCACCCUUAGGGGUAUCGCAUGAUGAAUACAUAGUCAUGCGAGGCGAACCGGGUGAACUGAAACAUCUCAGUAGCUCGAGGAAAAGACAUCAACCGAGAUUCCGAAAGUAGUGGCGAGCGAAAUCGGAAGAGCCUGUUAGUGAUAGCACAACUGUUAGCAAAGCGGCAUGGAAAGGCCGGCCAUAGUGGGUGAUAGCCCCGUAUGCGAAAACAGAUGUGUGGUACUGAGCUAACGACAAGUAGGGCGGGACACGAGAAAUCCUGUCUGAAUAUGGGGGGACCAUCCUCCAAGGCUAAAUACUCAUCAUUGACCGAUAGUGAACAAGUACCGUGAGGGAAAGGCGAAAAGAACCCCGGGAGGGGAGUGAAAUAGAUCCUGAAACCGCAUGCUUACAAAAAGUAGGAGCCUCGAAAGGGGUGACUGCGUACCUUUUGUAUAAUGGGUCAGCGACUUACAUUCAGUGGCAAGGUUAACCGAAUAGGGAAGCCGUAGAGAAAUCGAGUCCGAAUAGGGCGAUCAGUCGCUGGGUGUAGACCCGAAACCAAGUGAUCUAUCCAUGGGCAGGAUGAAGGUGCCGUAACAGGUACUGGAGGUCCGAACCGACUAAUGUUGCAAAAUUAGCGGAUGACCUGUGGAUAGGGGUGAAAGGCUAAACAAACUUGGAAAUAGCUGGUUCUCUCCGAAAACUAUUUAGGUAGUGCCUCAAGUAUUACCAUCGGGGGUAGAGCACUGUUUUGGCUAGGGGGUCAUGGCGACUUACCAAACCAAGGCAAACUCCGAAUACCGAUGAGUACAGCUUGGGAGACAGAGCACCGGGUGCUAACGUCCGGACUCAAGAGGGAAACAACCCAGACCGCCAGCUAAGGUCCCUAAAAUUGGCUAAGUGGGAAACGAAGUGGGAAGGCUAAAACAGUCAGGAUGUUGGCUUAGAAGCAGCCAUCAUUUAAAGAAAGCGUAAUAGCUCACUGAUCGAGUCGUCCUGCGCGGAAGAUGUAACGGGGCUAAGCCAGUUACCGAAGCUGCGGAUUUGCAAUUUAUUGCAAGUGGUAGGAGAGCGUUCUGUAGGCCUGUGAAGGUGGUGGUGUAAACCCUGCUGGAGGUAUCAGAAGUGCGAAUGCUGACAUGAGUAGCGUUAAAGGGGGUGAAAAGCCCCCUCGCCGUAAGCGCAAGGUUUUCUACGCAACGUUCAUCGGCGUAGAGUGAGUCGGCCCCUAAGGCGAGGCAGAGAUGCGUAGCUGAUGGGAAACAGGUCAAUAUUCCUGUACCGAUUACAAGUGCGAUGUGGGGACGGAGAAGGUUAGCUCAGCCAACUGUUGGAUAUGUUGGUUCAAGCCUGUAGUCGUGCCUGGUAGGCAAAUCCGCCGGGCUUAGAUGAGGGGUGAUAACGAGUGUGCUUGCACACGAAGUGAGUGAUACCCUGCUUCCAGGAAAAGCCACUAAGCUUCAGCUUGUAAUUGACCGUACCGCAAACCGACACUGGUGCGCGAGAUGAGUAUUCUAAGGCGCUUGAGAGAACUCAGGAGAAGGAACUCGGCAAAUUGAUACCGUAACUUCGGGAGAAGGUAUGCCCCUAGUAGGUGAACUUGAACAAAGGGAGCCCAACGGGGUUGCAAAAAAUCGGUGGCUGCGACUGUUUAAUAAAAACACAGCACUCUGCAAACACGAAAGUGGACGUAUAGGGUGUGACGCCUGCCCGGUGCUGGAAGAUUAAAUGAUGGGGUGCAAGCUCUUGAUUGAAGUCCCAGUAAACGGCGGCCGUAACAAUAACGGUCCUAAGGUAGCGAAAUUCCUUGUCGGGUAAGUUCCGACCUGCACGAAUGGCGUAACGAUGGCCACACUGUCUCCUCCUGAGACUCAGCGAAGUUGAAAUGUUUGUGAUGAUGCAAUCUCCCCGCGGAAAGACGGAAAGACCCCAUGAACCUUUACUGUAGCUUUGUAUUGGACUUUGAACAGAUCUGUGUAGGAUAGGUGGGAGGCUUUGAAGCGAGGUCGCUAGAUCUUGUGGAGCCAACGUUGAAAUACCACCCUGGUGUGUUUGAGGUUCUAACCUAGGUCCAUUAUCUGGAUCGGGGACAGUGCAUGGUAGGCAGUUUGACUGGGGCGGUCUCCUCCCAAAGCGUAACGGAGGAGUUCGAAGGUACGCUAGUUACGGUCGGACAUCGUGAUAAUAGUGCAAUGGCAUAAGCGUGCUUAACUGCGAGACUGACAAGUCGAGCAGAUACAAAAAAAAAAAAAAA